GUGGAACUAGCGCUGGCUUUAGUGGAAACUGCUCUCUUGCAGAAUAAGUAAGAGCUUGUCACUACUGCAGAAGGUGACUGUGAGUGGGUCUUGCUCCUCUGACAUGCUAAAUAAAACACAUACCUUAUGACAAACACUUUGCAGGAUUCAGCCUCAGCAUGCUCAGUCUUUUGUUGUAUCAAAUUCUAAGAGAGGAGCCAGAGAACUUCUUGGUCCAAGGCUAUUUGUCCAGAAGCAGUCUGAAAUUGAAAUUCAUAUACAGCUUGAGAAGAAAAAUUAAACUUGUUGUGGAACUGCUGCUAUGAAGUUUAUAGUAAUGAUCUUGAACUACUUAGACCUCUGGCUAUAUCAGAUCCAGAGGACAACUAUUGACAGGAAUUAUGGGGCUGUCUUGAUCUUCACUGUGGGAUCUUCUGUAUGUGAAAAGGGUCAUUUGAAAACACAAGGAAAGUGACCAACCCCAUGAGAACAAACUGUGAAAUAGAUGAAGACGAGUAAGGGGGAGACAGAAGGGGAUCAAGGAAGUUGACUGGGUUUGUCUUCUCUUUUAUUUGUUUUUAUUUUCUUCAGUAAACAUUUUGAACACAGCAUU
rnacentral:lncRNA from 1 species